ensembl:lncRNA
UUCAGGAUCAAAUGAGUCACUAAUGGACUUUUAUUACAUUUGAUGAGCAGUUUACAAUAGAAAUAUUAAAGCACACAUAUUACUCUGUUUAUUAAAAAAUCAGAACAGUAUGAGUGUCUGAUCUAGAUUCAUAACUUCUGUAUGACAAUGAAAAACGAAUUAAAAAUUAAUUCAAAUGUAAUGAUGUGAGAUUUGAUGAGUUUCUGUGCAUGUGAACAUCAGAAAGAGUCUCUCUAUCAUUUGAUAUCACACAGAGACACUGAGGAAUCAUCAUCAAUCAUAAACCCAGCACAGAGGGGUUCAGUGAAUGUGGUGUUGAAUGUAUGUAUGUGUGUGAGUGUGUGUGCGUCAGAGACGCUGUAGAAGGACAGUGAGCCGGCCGACACGUCCACAUACACUCCUGCUCUCUUACAGGAUGAAUAGAUGGCAGGUAUAUCAGUGUCGUUAUUAUUGUGAUGUACAGUGAAUAUGUUAUCAGUGCAGAUCAGACUCCAGGAUUUGUCAUUGUAUCCAAACCAACAGCCACUCACUCCUUUCCUGUUGAUUCCUUUAUAUGACACUGAUAUAACAGCAUCAUUUCCGCUCCAUUCAGUCUCCCAAUAACAGCGUCCAGUCAGACUCUCAACACUCAGAACCUGAGGAGCCUCAUCAAAUCUCUCUGGAUGAUCAGGAUACGGCUGAAGAUGUGCUCACUAUUCACAGAUGUGCUCACUAUUCACAGAUGUGCUCACUAUUCACAGAUGUGCUCACUAUUCACAGAUGUGCUCACUAUUCACAGAUGUGCUCACUAUUCACAGAUGUGCUCACUAUUCACAGAUGUGCUCACUAUUCACAGAUGUGCUCACUAUUCACAGAUGUGCUCACUAUUCACAGAUGUGCUCACUAUUCACAGAUGUGCUCACUAUUCACAGAUGUGCUCACUAUUCACAGAUGUGCUCACUAUUCACAGAUGUGCUCACUAUUCACAGAUGUGCUCACUAUUCACAGAUGUGCUCACUAUUCACAGAUGUGCUCACUAUUCACAGAUGUGCUCACUAUUCACAGAUGUGCUCACUAUUCACAGAUGUGCUCACUAUUCACAGAUGUCUUCAAUGUUCGCAGAUAUCCUCAAUGUUCGCAGAUGUCUUCACUAUUCACAGAUGUAUUCACUAUUCACAGAUGUGCUCUCUAUUCACAGAUGUGCUCACUAUUCACAGAUGUCUUUACUAUUCACAGAUGUGUUCACUAUUCACAGAUGUGCUCACUAUUCACGGAUGUCUUCACUAUUCACAGAUGUGCUCACUGUUCACAGAUGUAUUCACUAUUCACAGAUGUGUUCACUAUUCACAUAUGUGUUCACUAUUCACAGAUGUGCUCACUAUGCACAAAUGUCUUCACUAUUCACAGAUGUCUUCUCUAUUCACUGAUGUAUUCACUAUUCACAGAUGUGCUCACUAUUCACAGUUGUCUUCACUAUUCUCAGAUGUGCUCACUAUUCACAGAUGUCUUCACUAUUCACAGAUGUGCUCACUAUUCACAGAUGUGCUCUCUAUUCACAGAUGUGCUCACUAUUCACAGAUGUCUUUACUAUUAACAGAUGUGUUCACUAUUCACAGAUGUGCUCACUAUUCACAAAUGUCUUCACUAUUCACAGAUGUCUUCACUAUUCACUGA